rfam:Clostridium sp. CAG:242 genomic scaffold, scf123
UGACCACCCGAGCGCGGGUUAAAGGCCAUACGGACAGCCGGGUCAACUGCCGA